rnacentral:rRNA from 1 species
UACGUAGGGUGCAAGCGUUGUCCGGAAUUAUUGGGCGUAAAGAGCUCGUAGGCGGCUUGUCACGUCGACUGUGAAAACCCGGGGCUCAACCGUGUGGUCUGCAGUCGAUACGGGCAGGCUGGAGUUCGGUAGGGGAGAGUGGAAUUCCUGGUGUAGCGGUGGAAUGCGCAGAUAUCAGGAGGAACACCCGUGGCGAAGGCGGCUCUCUGGUACGUGACUGACGCUGAGACGCGAAAGCGUGGGGAGCGAACAGG